CUUCUUUUAUGAGCGACAACAUUUCUGUCGUUGAACUACAACCGAGCUCGAUGGUGUGGAACAACUCAUCAAGAUGUUGUCGGUCGAACAAGUCU
rnacentral:precursor_RNA from 1 species